rnacentral:rRNA from 1 species
UACGUAGGGGGCAAGCGUUGUCCGGAAUUAUUGGGCGUAAAGCGCGCGCAGGCGGCCUUGUAAGUCUGUCGUUUAAACUCGGAGCUCAACUUCGAGUCGCGAUGGAAACUGCAAAGCUUGAGUGCGGCAGAGGAGACUGGAAUUCCUGGUGUAGCAGUGAAAUGCGUAGAUAUCAGGAGGAAUACCGAUGGCGAAGGCAGGUCUCUGGGCUGACACUGACGCUCAUGCACGAAAGCGUGGGGAGCAAACAGG